UGUGUAGGCGGUCCUCUAAGUUUGGUGUGAAAUCUCCCGGCUCAACUGGGAGGGUGCGCCGAAAACUGGAGGGCUAGAGUGCGGGAUGGGAAAGUGGAAUUCCUGGUGUAGCGGUGAAAUACGUAGAUAUCAGGAGGAACACCUGUGGUGUAGACGGCUUUCUGGACCGCAACUGACGCUGAGACACGAAAGCGUGGGUAGCAAACAGGAUUAGAUACCCUGGUAGUCCACGCCCUAAACGAUGCAUAUUUGGUGUGGGCCAUUCAUUUGGUCCGUGCCGGAGCUAACGCGUUAAAUAUGCCGCCUGGGGAGUACGGUCGCAAGGCUGAA
rnacentral:rRNA from 1 species